CGUCGCUGGGAUUUCCUAUAAAAAAGCGACAAAUAUGAAAAAUUGAAAAUGGAAACUGAAAAGCAAAGAAAUUUUUGUUUUCUUUUUGGAUAAAAUAGGUGAUGGAACUUCUGAAGCUCUCAAAGUUCAAGCUCCAACUUCAAUCCCUAAUUUCCGAAGUUCGAUAUCUCAGGGACAGAGAACGCUCUGCCACGGAACAGCACCGCCAACAAAUCCAGAGGCAGAAGCAGAAUGAGGAAGAGUUGACUAUGAAGAUACAGGAAUUGCAGCAAGAGUUAGCUUCGGUCAAAGAAGAGUGCCAGAAACUGGAGAGACAGGUAAAUUACCUACAGAAUGAUAAUGCGAUGCUUGAAAGCAAGCACAAAGAGUUGAAGGGAACCCUAAAUAGCGUGCUACAGUCUAGGGAGAAUUUCGUGCAUGCUUAUGAGGAAUCUACUGCUCAAAUGAAACGUUCAAUUGAAACCAAAGACAGGAUGAUCAAUGUUCUUUCAGAGAAAAUAAACUCUCACUUAUUGUUAUUUGAUUCGGUAGAGAAGGAGGUGUUUUAUGUCAAGCAAAUUGUGGACAAAGUGCAGAAUCUUGUAAAUGAUAAAGAGGAAGUUGUGACUAGCCUGAGAAACAAAAUGGACCGGGUCUCUACAUUUGAAAAAGAAUUUGUAGAAAAUAUUACUGAUCUAAGAAAUAGACUGGAAAACAAUGAGGCUGAAUUACGAAGAAAGGAUAGAGUCAUCUCACAGCUAGAAGCAAAGCUGGAUGCGGCAAGACUUAGCAAUAAUGAUCGAGCUCAUAUAGAAGAAAUAAAGCAAACUUUAUCAGCAAAGGAUGUGGAGAUACAAAACUUAAUUUCAGAUAAAGAGGCAUUACAAUAUGAAGUUGGAAGUUUACAACACAUCCUACAGAGGAUUCAGGACACUAUAAUGAAUACGAAUGAAGAGGACAAAAUGUUAUUCUCCUCAAUUUUGUCACAAAAAGAAGCAAGCACAACAGAUCUGAAGGCUACAAAUAAUAGGAUGGAAGAUAUUGUUCCAAGCAAGGAAGAGAAGGCUCAUGAACCUACUGAAUGCUGACUUAAAGGGCAGAGUUACCUAGGUGUAGCUCAAAAGCCGAAAAAAAAGAAGUGUUUGAAGAGCAUCAAUUUGCUGAAGGUUUGAUCAGAUCCUCCUAUGACAGCUUACAGCUGAUAAUCAAUAGAGGUGAAGGAGGCAGCAUUAUGAAAAUGCACGGAUAAUGCCCUGUCGAGGCAUGGUUUUGGUGCCACAAUUUUUCUUUUUGCCUCUCAUUGCUCAUUCAUCAUUGACAAUGCCACAAAUUCCCUUUUAAUCCUGUAUGCUGUAUUGGAUGGUCAUUUGAUAAUGUAAUGUCUGGUUCCUUUUUAUUAUUAUUAUUACUAUUUUUUUGGGUGGGGGCUGUCAUAUUUAUAUACAAUUACAAACUCCAAUAGAAGGAAGAGACAGGACCACUUGUGGUCAUUAUUCUGUCUAGUCUUAAUGAAAGUAUCU